rnacentral:rRNA from 1 species
GACGACGCUGGGCGGCGUGGGAUUAGGCAUGCAAGUCGAACGGUAUCAUCCUUUCGGGGAUGAGAGAGUGGCGAACGGGUGAGUAACACGUAGGUGAUCUACCCUCAAGACGGGGACAACCCAGGGAAACUUGGGCUAAUACCGGAUGUGAGCUAUCGCGAGAUAGUUUGAAAGGUGGCUUCGGCUGCCGCUUGGGGAUGAGCCUGCGUCCUAUUAGCUAGUUGGUGAGGUAACGGCUCACCGAGGCAGUGAUAGGUAGGCGGCCUUAACGGGUGGUCGCCCACACUGGGAUUGAGAUACGGCCCAGACUCCUACGGGAGGCAGCAGUCGAGAAUAGUCUACAAUGGUCGAAAGACUGAUAGUGCGACGCCGCGUGAACGAAGAAGCCCUUCGGGGUGUAAAGUUCUUUUAUAUGUGAGCAGUGACAUCUAUAUUAAUAGUAUGGGUGUAGAGAUAUUAGCAUAUGAAUAAGCAACGGCUAACUCCGUG